UACGUAGGGGGCAAGCGUUGUCCGGAAUCAUUGGGCGUAAAGCGCGUGUAGGCGGUUCGGUAAGUCUGCUGUGAAAGUCCAGGGCUCAACCCUGGGAUGCCGGUGGAUACUGUCGGACUAGAGUACGGAAGAGGCGAGUGGAAUUCCCGGUGUAGCGGUGAAAUGCGCGGAUAUCGGGAGGAACACCAAUUGCGAAGGCAGCUCGCUGGGACGUUACUGACGCUGAGACGCGAAAGCGUGGGGAGCAAACAGG
rnacentral:rRNA from 1 species